rnacentral:rRNA from 1 species
GGUUGACCUCGGAUCAGGUAGGGAUACCCGCUGAACUUAAGCAUAUCAAUAAGCGGAGGAAAAGAAACCAACAGGGAUUGCCUUAGUAACGGCGAGUGAAGCGGCAACAGCUCAAAUUUGAAAGCUGGCCCUUUCAGGGUCCGCGUUGUAAUUUGUAGAGGAUGAUUCGGCGAGGGCUCCCGCCUAAGUCCCCUGGAACGGGGCGUCAUAGAGGGUGAGAAUCCCGUAUGCGGUGGGCUGCCUUAGCCAUGUGAAUCUCCUUCGACGAGUCGAGUUGUUUGGGAAUGCAGCUCUAAAUGGGAGGUAAAUUUCUUCUAAAGCUAAAUACCGGCCAGAGACCGAUAGCGCACAAGUAGAGUGAUCGAAAGAUGAAAAGCACUUUGGAAAGAGAGUUAAAAAGUACGUGAAAUUGUUGAAAGGGAAGCGCUUGCAACCAGACUUGUCCGCAGUUGCUCAGCCGGUCUCCUGACCGGCGUACUCUUCUGCGGCCAGGCCAGCAUCAGUUCGGGCGGUCGGAUAAAGACCUCGGGAAUGUAGCUCCUCUCGGGGAGUGUUAUAGCCCGGGGUGGAAUGCGGCCAGCCUGGACUGAGGAUCUCGCUUCGGCAAGGAUGCUGGCGUAAUGGUUGUAAGCGGCCCGUCUUGAAACACGGACCAAGGAGUCUAACAUCUAUGCGAGUGUUUGGGUGUCAAACCCAUACGCGUAAUGAAAGUGAACGGAGGUGGGAACCCGCAAGGGCGCACCAUCGGCCGAUCCUGAUGUCUUCGGAUGGAUUUGAGCAAGAGCAUAGCUGUUGGGACCCGAAAGAUGGUGAACUAUGCCUGAAUAGGGUGAAGCCAGAGGAAACUCUGGUGGAGGCUCGCAGCGGUUCUGACGUGCAAAUCGAUCGUCAAAUUUGGGUAUAGGGGCGAAAGACUAAUCGAACCAUCUAGUAGCUGGUUCCUGCCGAAGUUU